GUUGAAGCUGAAGUUAAAUCCAAGGGAAGGUUUGGUAUGCAAUGUUUACGGUCGCCAUGUGAAUGGGCGCGUUGUUCCUUGCGGGGAGGUGGCCCUGCCAGGCACUGAGAUUCCCGCAGGCAGGCACUGAGGGGCCGUGCCAGUGGUGGACAGACACUUGCAUAUCAAGGGACACCGUCACCUCACGCCCGGAACUUGGCGUGCCCCAUCCACAGUCAAGGCAUCGGAGAGGGAAACGCAAGAUGAGUAACCCAGCCAGUGAGUUAGAGAGGCCAGGCACCAACUCCUCCAAUCGCCAGGCUUGGGGUCAGGAUGGGCGGGGCGGCGGCGGCGGGGCGGGCGCGGCCGUGGUGGACACCUACGAGUAUGAUGACAGCGAGGAAAUCCGCAAGAAGGGAUGCUGGUAUAAGUUUUCCACCUUCGUGUCCCGUAUAUGGGCCACACGACAGAUGACGAAGAGAGAAGAUCGAGAGGUUUACGUAAGAACAACGCUGAGAGAACUUCUAGUCUACGCUAUAUUCCUCGUCGACCUUUGUAUUAUAACGUUUGGCAUGACCUCGCCCACCAUGUACUACUACACGAAGGUUCUGAGCGAGCUGUUUCUGGAUGCGCCUUACCCUGACACCAAGAACACCUUCAGAGGCUCCACUCAGGUCCUUGACUUCUGGCGGUUUUCAGAGAACAUACUGCUGGAUGGCUUGUACUGGGAACACUGGUAUGACGUGAGCGCCACUGACACCACCAAGGAUGACCGCAACAUUCUGUAUGAAAACCGGCUCUUGGGCGUCCCCAGAAUCAGACAGUUACGAGUCCACAAUAAGUCUUGUGAAAUACCCCCAGACUUCCAGCGAGUCAUCCGGCAGUGUUACAGUGAGUACUCGCCGACAAGUGAAGACCAUGCAGAAUUCAGUCCCAAUGGGGAAAAUACAACAGCAUGGAAGUAUUUCUCGGAGAAGCAGCUUAACGGAUCUGUCCACUGGGGGAAGAUUGCACACUACUCAGGGGCCGGCAGCUAUGUGGACCUUGGCUCCAACAGGACCACAACAAAGAACAUUCUUGCUGAGCUGCGUGAUAAGUUGUGGAUUCAGAGAGGCACUAGAGCUGUGUUCUAUGACUUCACUGUUUACAAUGCCAACAUCAACCUCUUCUGUGUUAUCAAGCUGGUGUUUGAGUUCCCAGCCACAGGAGGUGUCAUACCCUCAUGGGAGUUCAGAACAGUGAAGCUUUUACGCUACGUCACUCCAAACGACUUCUUUGUGCUGGCGUGUGAGUGCAUCUUUGUGUUCUUCAUCCUGUACUAUAUCAUUGAGGAGGCCAUAGAGAUCAAAGCACUCAAGUGGUCAUACUUCAAGAGCACCUGGAACAUCCUCGACUUACUGGUCAUUGCGAUUUCACUUCUCUGCAUCGGCUUCAAUGUCUUCUGUUUCUUCACCAUCAGCAGCAAAUUGCAGGAAUUAUUGGAAGACCCAAACAUCUUCGCAGAUUUUGAGUUCUUGGGGUAUUGGCAAAUACAGUUUAACAAUGCAGUUGCUGUUUGUGUCUUCUUUGCUUGGUUUAAGCUUUUCAAGUAUAUAUCCUUCAACAAGACAAUGACACAGCUCUCCUCCACACUGUCAAGGUGUGCCAUGGACAUAGCUGGGUUUGCCAUCAUGUUCUUCAUUGUCUUCUUCGCCUUCGCCCAGCUGGGAUAUCUUCUUUUUGGCACACAGGUGCGUGACUUCAGAAAAUUCAUGGAUGCUGUCUUCACACUGCUCCGGACUAUUUUGGGUGACUUCAACUUUCACGAGAUAGAGGAAGCCAACAGGGUCUUGGGCCCAAUCUUCUUCAUCUGUUAUGUCUUCUUUGUGUACUUUGUGCUGCUGAACAUGUUCCUGGCUAUCAUUAAUGACACAUACUCAGAGGUCAAGAUUGAAAUUGCCAACCAGCGUAAUGAAUUUGAGAUUGCGGACUACUUCAAGCGAGGCUACAACAACAUGAUGGGCAAGCUGGGGCGGAGGGACAAGAUUGUGGAUAUUCAGAAUGCCCUUAAACUCUCUGAUUCCAAUGGAGAUGGGAUGCUGACCUUUGAUGAGAUACGAACAAAUCUAAAAAAAUGCAACUUUUCUGACAUGGAGAUUGAGAUGUUCUUUGCCAAGUACGACACAGAUGGCAACCGCUUGCUUGAGCAGGACGAGGUCAGGAGGAUGCUCAGUGACCUUGAAGGGCAGAAAGUUGAACUGGAAAAGCAAAUCAAGAAUGAGGACCGACCAAGCAGUGCCAAAGCCAGUGGGGAAAGUGAGACCCGGCCAGCCUCAGCUUCUUCAGGCCAUGGCUCAAUCACCUCUGUGUCAUUUGAAGAAUUUUCUGUGCUGCAGCGUCGUGUGGACCGGCUGGAGCACAGCAUUGGCAGCAUUGUGAGUAAGAUUGACGCCGUUCUGGUGAAGCUCGAUCACAUGGAGAAACACAAACACAAGCGUAAGGAGACGAUGAGCAAGCUGCUGGACACAAUCACUGAGAACGACGACAUGGAUGACACCACCAAAAGGAAGCGCGUGGAGCAAAUGGUGCGAGAUGAACUGGACAAAUGGGAUGGAGAUUCAAGUCCUAUGAGUCACAAAUAAGAAGCUUGGGAUGGAAUUUCUUUUGCUGGAGAGAUCUGACAAACAAAUACUCCUAAGAGAAAUGAUUCAUUUAACGACUAUAAUGUCCGUGUGAUUGAUACUGCAGUAGUCAUGCUAUACAGUAAGGUGUGAGUGCGUGUGUGUACAUAACUGAGGUUAUAAAUUGCACUUUUUUUCUUUCAAUGUCUCUUUUAAUUUAUGAAAGCCUGAAUGCAAUUAGAUUUUUUUAUUUUUUAUUUAUUUUAUUUUUUUUACCUAUAUAUUACGUCCUGUUGGUCCUGUUUUAACGGGUUAUGCGUUGUGGUGGUGGUGGUGAUGGUGCGCAGUGCGAUGGCAGUGAGUGGUGAAAGACUCGGCAGCCGCAGGAUCGUCUCGCCCUGUGCUUCUCUCCUUGCCUCAUUACCACGCAGCGAGAGCCCGCUCACCGCCACCCAGGAAACAUUAAUGGUUCUGUGUUGGUUCAUCAAGAAUGCUUACGGUUAUUAGUUAUGUUCUCACUGAACUUUUAUGUUAUUGUGUCAGGGAUUUUAGAGUUAUAAUUAGUUGAUAAGGACAUUGUGAUUUACGCUUGUUUUGAGUGUUAUUACAUUUAUGUUGUAAUUGUUGAGCAACUGUGAUAGUAAAAUACACGAGUACAAUGGUAUAUAUAUAUAUAUAUAUAUAUAUAUAUAUAUAUAUAUAUAUAUAUAUAUAUAUAUAUAUAUAUAUAUAUAUAUAUAUAUAUAUACUCUAUGGCCUUAUAAGUGAGUCAAGCAAUGUAUUAAGUAUAGAGGGAGUAGAGUGGAGUGGAAUGCCUCACGCACGUCUAUAAUCAGUCACAAGGUCUAGUUCACUUGGCGCUGUAGCUUCGUAGUGUUUAGGGUGCAGCCCCGCCAUCAUACAGCCUGGUUGGUGCGUCUCCUUGAGAGCAAUUGUACAUCUUGAAGGUCACGCCACCAGGAAGCUCUGCGCCACUCAGUCGGCAGCAGGCAGAGAAGGAGGGUUGGUGUGUGGUCCACGAGGUUCUUCAUUGCUGUUCGUCAUCAGUUAUAUGAAAGGGAGCGUCUUGAAUCCAGCCAGCAGAGCAUGGAAUGAACUUAUCGCCUGAUAAAACUACAAGACAGAAAUGUCAGUAAUGAAAUUGGAAGGUAAAACUACAAGACAGAAAUGUCAGUAAUGAAAUUGAGUAAGUGUGAAGAAUUAUCCCAUAAGCUUUCAGCAGUGACUGGCUGAGACUGAUGAAAGAAGAAGCAUGAACACUACCUCUGAUGGGCAGCCACUACAUCAAAGUCUCCAAGGAAGAUUCUCGAGACCACUUACUGGAGGAGGGAGACUGGAGGCCGAGAGGAAGAGGCUGAGUGCGGGGGUGCCUCGGGGUGGAAGGCAUCUUGGGUGGGGAGGAGAGAGGCGUGCGGAACUGGGCGAGGGCCAUGCGCUCCAGAAAGCCAUCCAGCUGGCGGAGGGACAGGGCGUUGUGCAGAGUUUCCAGCGGCCGAAUGGAUGGCACGCCUCCAAGACCCUCCAGGCCUGUAACACAAGGGAAAAGUUACUGUUGCAAUACACAACUGUUUCCUGCAAGACUGGAUAAGAAGCCCUACAGGCCUCUGAGUCUAGCAAUGUGCAGCCACUCAUGAGCAAUGGGCCAAGUCAUCAUUUCAAUGUUUUGUGUCAAAUGGCCACUUACUUUCUGGAUGAUUGAGAUAGUUUUUCCAACAAUUAUGAGGGCACUGAUUUAAUUUGCACAUGCCAUACAGUAAAGUGAUAAAUAACAGGUAUGAUGCAAAUAGAUACUUAGGUCUGUUUUGUAAUGCCAACAGAAAUACCAAAUAUAUUAAGUUUGCCUUAGAUGUAGAAGUUAAAUUUUUCUCUCUCUCUCUUCCUCCCCUCUUCCCACAGAACCACAGUCUCUCUCUCUCUCUCUCUCUCUCUCUCUCUCUCUCUCUCUCUCUCUCUCUCUCUCUCUCUCUCUCUCUCUCUCUC